GGUUAUAGAGCUUUUCAUUUUGGCAUCAGACCAAAUAAAAAAGGAAAUCGAACUAGUAAAAAUAUGUAUAAAAGAAAUGGCCUAAAACUCUUGAUAUAGUGGUUUGAUGUUGGCUUUUGUGUUCAGCGCACUGCCUCUACACUGAACGUGGGAUCCAGCUGGUCAGACGUGUCUCUUGGACAAUCCAGGUUGUGCUGAGCGUGACUUGUUGCGCGUAGCACACUACCCACUGCGUUGAGCGUGUGGGCUGUGUUGAGCGUAUUCUGGACAUUAGUUAACGAAAUUUAAUUCUUUGGCCAAGCGCUCAAUGUAGAUUUUGUGAUGAGUGUGGCUCUCUCUACGCUCAGCGUGACAUCGGCACUAAGCGGAACUAUAAGAUGUUGUCAAAUGCAUUGAGCGCAGAUUUGGCGUUGAGCGUGGCUUGAUCUGACUCCAAAACUUCGA